rnacentral:rRNA from 1 species
UACGUAGGUGGCAAGCGUUGUCCGGAUUUACUGGGCGUAAAGAGCGCGCAGGCGGUCGUGCAAGUCGCGUGUGAAAGCCCCCGGCUCAACUGGGGAGGGUCACGCGAUACUGCUCGACUCGAAGGCAGGAGAGGGAAGUGGAAUUCCCUGUGUAGUGGUGAAAUGCGUAGAUAUCAGGAGGAACACCGGUGGUGUAGACGGCUUUCUGGACCGUAACUGACGCUGAAACACGAAAGCGUGGGUAGCAAACAGG